AUCUUCAGUCUUCAGACUGUUCAUCUGCAGAUACAGCUGCUCUCUGCUGUUGUCUCUGGAGAUGGUAAACCGGCCUUGGACUGACUGAGAGUAGUAAAUAUAAGCAUUACUGUAGAUACUCGCAAUCCACUCCAGUC